CCUAACGACUUGGAGGACUAGGCUGUGAGAUCAUUUUCUGGGAUUGGGUAUUUUCCCAGGCUGCAACCAAAGAUCAGAGUGUAAAGCUCUCUGCUCCAGGGCCAUGCUGGCCAGUGUGCUGUGCUUUCACUGUGAUGACAAUGGACUGACUCUGUGGAAUGCCCUGCUGUCCUGGAACUUUCGCUGUAGACCCACUGGCCUCAAAUUAAGAGAUCUGAACUGCUGGGAUUAAAGGGCCUGCUCCAUUUGGGUCCAGUUGGGUCAAACACUACCACAUGUACAGGAAAACAGCCAAGAAAUUCAACAUGAUUCCAUUUGAACACAGAUCUGGUGGGAACCUGGCUAUCUUAAAUUUUAAACUGUGCAGGAAGAUGUGGCAGCUUUAAGGGUCCAUGGAUGAAUCAGACAGCUCCUGCAGUGAUUCCAACAUGUCAUUCGCGGAAUCUUCAGAUGUCUAUGAUGAAAAUAACACCUGUGAGGAAACUGUCUCUAUAGGGUAUUGAAAGCUGAGAUUGGGAAUCUCCAUCUGGUAUCCUGGGAUAUUAAUUAUGAUAUGUUGGCCUGAUUCAAGAAGCGUUAGUAAUGUUUUGGGGAUGUCAUGUAUGCAAUCUUGUCCUCUAAGAAGAAGCUUCUGCUCUUUUUCUGGGAUAGGGCUCUGUGAUGUAACUGUGUGUCCAAAACCUUGGUAUAGGCCCACUGUGGAGGGUGGCUUUGAAGAGCCAGAAGAUGUUUCUUGGGAAGAGGAGGAAAGGGGGCUUGAAUGUUCUUUAUGAUGCUGGUUUGGAUAACCUCGCAUUGUCCUCCCUUUAAGACAAUAGAAACUUAUUAACCAAAAGUUAUUUUUACCAUUUAAACACAUGAUUCUAAAAAUAGCUCCCCCUACCCCCUAUCUCCUUGAAUUUGAAGAGCCUACAUCAUGGAACUGCUAUAAUAUGGUCUUAUUUUUAAAUAACUAUUGAAUUGUCAUGGCAGGAGAAAUAUAAUAACCCACAUAUUGGGGCUGAGGAGACAUUUGUAAAUUGCUGGCCACACAAACAUAAAGCAACUGAGUUUAAUCCUACUGACAGAUAACAAGCAGGGCAUGGUUUUGUGUGUUGCUCACAGUAAGAGAAGGAGGGUCUCUGGGGCUCUCUGGCCAAGCAUCCUAGCUGAGAUCUGUGAGCUCCAGGAGAGUGAGACUCUGUUCCAAAACCCAAAUCUGAACAGCUCCUGAGAAACCACUCCUGAGGUUCAUCUCAAGUCCCCACAUGCACACACACACACACACACACACACACACACACACACACACUCAGCCUGUUACUUACCAACAAGACUAACUUGGUCUGAAAUGUCAUCUCUCACAUCAGAAACAUACCACAUUGCGAGGAAGGAGUCAAAGCAGGAGCCUUUCUCAGCUUCAUGGGCAUAGGAUUUAUAGGGGAAAGUAUAGGGAUAGGCAAUUGCGGCCAAAACCAUCUCAAUGCAUAUGAUGAAAUCUUACAAAAAUCAACAAAAACAUCAGUCAUCUUUUUGGCUAAAUUUAGUUUUCCAAACUAAUAACUUUUUAAAAGUUAUUUAGGGUGUCAAAAUUUUUUUUUAAGUUUCAGACUUAAAAAUUUAUUUUUAAAACUUUUUCCCAUAUCAAAACAUGAUAAGCCAAGAUUUACAUUUCUUUUUGCAGCCCUGAGUCAAGUAUUUCUCAAUGCUACCCAAGGACUGAAAGGUACCAUGCAGAUAUAAGUGGACAAAGAAUAAAAUAAUUAAUAGUCAGUAUCUAUAGCUCACUUCUCCAGUGUUCCUGCACUACAGAAUUGGCCAACAGUCUCGCCCCACUGUUUUCAGGUUGUUCAGGGGCAAUACUGCAUCAAAUGGCUCAACAAACAAUACAAUUCCCCGAGUUCAGAGAUGGCUCUACAUACCUGCAGGCCCAUGGACACAGAUUCUGCACUUUGCCAUUACCAGGUCUGCUUUUCUGAAAUAACUCCCACUUUAACCAACAUGCCUCGGUCCCCCGAGGGCAGGAAUUAAAGGCAUGCACCACCGCUGCCCAGAUCAUGCAGUUUAUAAGUCAACACUAAAUAAAUACAGUUUCAAUAUAAUUCUGACCAUCAGAUCUGACUCUAAAUCACAUUUCCUUGAGAGGAGUACAUUAGUCCACUUUACCCAAACACCUAUACUAUUGCUGUGGCUCAGAGGCAGAGUGCCCACCCAACAUGCAGGAGGCCCUAGAUUCUAGUUAUCAUACUGCUGAAAGAAAAGUCAUCAGGACUCCAAGCAUGAAGCCAUUUCGUAGUACCUAUGAACUGCUACCCUCAUUCUGGGAUCAAACCCAGAGCUGUGUAUGCUAGGCAAACACUCCACCCGAGGAGUUCCAUAAGUCCUCAACUAAUUUCCAGUAUCUGUCAUGAAUUGGAAUCAAAGUCUGUUGCCCAAUCUUUUUGACCUGAAAGUAGCUGACUUCUGUGUAUGUUUCCUAGGGUUUCCUUUUAGUAACUGUCUAAAUGUUAAUGGGAAGACAAAACUAUGUUCACCUAGUUCAGAAUAUUUGCUAUAAAGUCCUUUACAUCCAAAGCAAAAGUACUUCCAUUUCUUUAGAAUACAUUGCCAGGAAAGGGUCUAUGGUCAUGAAGAUGACCAUGAGGAAGGAAGGCCCUGGAGACAUGUCCCACUCAUCUCCACUAUAAACUUCUAUUUUUGGUUUUUGAGACAGGGUUUCCCUGUGUAGCUCUGGCUGUCCUGGAACUCACACUGUAGACCAGGCUGGCCUUGAACUCAGAAAUCAGCCUGCCUCUGCCUCCCAGAGUGCUGGGACCAAAGGUGUGUGUCACCACAGCCCAUCAAAUUUUUCCAUUUAUAGUUUUUUUGAUUUUUGGUUUUUUCGA